rnacentral:rRNA from 1 species
UACGUAGGCAGCAAGCGUUGUUCGGAAUACUGGGCGUAAAGCGCACGUAGGCGGAUCGAUCAGUCAGGGGUGAAAUCCCAGGGCUCAACCCUGGAACUGCCUUUGAUACUGUCGAUCUGGAGUAUGGAAGAGGUGAGUGGAAUUCCGAGUGUAGAGGUGAAAUUCGUAGAUAUUCGGAGGAACACCAGUGGCGAAGGCGGCUCACUGGUCCAUUACUGACGCUGAGGUGCGAAAGCGUGGGGAGCAAACAGG